UUAAGAGAGCAACAAACAACGAACAAAACCUGCUGACAUGUGGUUAAUGGCAUCUCAAUGAAAAGGAAGACAGAGCACAUUAGGAGAAGGUCUGAAAUUAUGCUGCCUGUACAGAAACUCAUAUUUCAGCCCACGUGGGAAACGUUUGGACAAAUGGACUUUCCGAAAGAAAAGAAAACAUUUUAAGAGCCACAAGUAUUUCGCCUCAGGUGAGACACAGGAACGAUGCUUCUGUCACAGCUCAAUAGCAUGCACAGACCACUACCUGUU
rnacentral:lncRNA from 1 species